GACGUAGGGGGCGAGCGUUGUCCGGAAUUACUGGGCGUAAAGAGCACGUAGGCGGGAACCUAAGUCAGGUGUGAAAGACCGUGGCUCAACCACGGGGUGGCAUUUGAAACUGGGUUUCUUGAGGGCAGGAGAGGAAAGCAGAAUUCCUGGUGUAGCUGUGAAAUGCGUAGAAAUCAGGAGGAAUACCAGUGGCGAAGGCGGCUUUCUGGACUGACCCUGACGCUGAGGUGCGAAAGCGUGGGUAGCAAACAGGAUUAGAUACCCUGGUAGUCCCUGA
rnacentral:rRNA from 1 species